CACCGCGGUUAUACGAGAGGCUCAAGUUGAUAAAUACCGGCGUAAAAAGUGGUUAACAUUCCAUUAAACUAAAGCUGAACAUCUUCAAAGCUGUUAUACCCACAUGAAGACAGGAAAUACCUCUACGAAAGUAGCUUUAAAUAAUGUUGUCCACGAAAGCUAGGAAA
rnacentral:rRNA from 20 species